GCAAACUUGGUCAUUUAGAGGAAGUAAAAGUCGUAACAAGGUUUCCGUAGGUGAACCUGCGGAAGGAUCAUUAACAAAUCCAUGUGCGUCAUCCUUAAUGCCAUGUGCAUAAUGGAUGAUCGACACACGCUCCAUGUGCAUGUUCACUCUGCACAUUGUGACAUUUCUGCGAAUUGUCUGAUUUAUCAAACCGAAUGCAAAAUAAUCAACUUUUAACAAUGGAUCUCUAGGCUCCUGCAUCGAUGAAGAACGCAGC
rnacentral:misc_RNA from 1 species